rnacentral:lncRNA from 1 species
AUGCCGCUGGAAUUCGCGGGCUCGCAGAUCACAGGGGCCCGGGCGCGCCAGGCCUGGCGCUCCCGAAUCGAUGAGGAAAGCCGCUCUCCCCGGCAGAUCUUCCCGGCCGGGGCGCCUCCAUCACCCUGCCUGCGCCUCGGCACGCUGGCAAGGAGCCCGGGAAGAGACGCCGGGAGCGGUGGGUGGGCGAGGAACAAAUCCAAUGUGACUACAUUUUUCUUUGUCGCAACUACCACGACCUGGCCAUCCCCCACCUUGGUGACUUGGUGCCUUCCCAGCGACCUGCUUAUUUCACGCCAGCUGACUGGCGUUCACUGCAGUGUGAGUGUCGGCCGGAGGAGGGGUCCACGCGAAGGAGCCCACAAGAGCCGGGCUCUCGGGCCCCGAUGGCCGGAGCGGGCAUCCCGGGCGCCGAUGGCCGCAGGGCGCCGCAGCCGCGUCCGCACUCCCCUCCGCCCCGUUCCAUCGCGUGCGCCCUACCGCGUCUGCGGGCGUGUGGUGAGGGGCCGGCGGGCCCGCUCGGAGGAGAAGACUCCACUCGCCCGCACCACCAGCAGCUCGGCACCCCCUUGCCGGCUGCUGGCCCUACUCUCCGGCAGCGGGGCGCCGGGCUCCGCGACCCCUUCGGGCGCUUCCGCCGUGCGCUCGGCUCCUUUCGUGUCCAGGGUGGGGCGGGGCGGGGUGGGGCGGGGCCGGCGCCCGGGGUCGGGUGCGCGCGGCGCGGGCGGGCGCCCUCCCAGUGCGCGCGCGCCGUGCAAGGCCCGCGACGCCCGCCCCUCCCCCAGGCCCCCGCACCCGCGCCGCCCCCUCCCCUCCUGGCGAGAGUCGGCGGUGGCGGCGGCGGCUGCAGAGAUUGGAAUCCGCCUGCCGGGCUUGGCGAAGGAGGAGGGAGGAGGCAGGAGCGAGGAGGGAGGAGGGCUAAGGGCGGGCAGGAAGGCUAGGGUUCGGCGCGUCCGUCCGCGCGCGGCGAAGAUCGCACGGCCCAAUCGAGGGGCGACCGGGUCGGGGCCGCUGCACGCCUAG